AACAGGUGCAAGCCUCAGUGCGCUUUAUCUGAAACCUGCAACCAAUCCAGCUUCCGGAUACGCUGAUAACGAGCGAGCACAAGAUGAUGAGUUUUGGUAGAGGGUUCAAGCGCGCCGACUGGUUGUCCGCUGUUUGCCGACCAACGAGCAGGUAGCCGUUGCGGUUGCGAUCUUAUUGCCGGAUAUAGACGGACAUCGGCAUCAAUGCGCACCUCGAGGAAGGCGUUGGUCCACCGAGACAUCGAGCGGAUAGCUUCCGUCUCCACGCAGGAUGUGAUGCGACUCGACCGACUGCGAGACACGAGUUGUUGGCCGCCCGACAGCACUCCUCGUACGCGAACUCCUGUCGAAGUCUCGGCAGCAACUUGAUGACUUGGGCGCCAGUCGCGAGCCCUGGGCACUCCGAGGUUCAGACGAUUCCGUCUACACCACUGCUCGCAUGCACCCACCGUGGAUAAACCGCACCUUAUCCCCAAAAGCUCUUCUUCAGGCGCAUACCUCGAAGAAGAGACGAUUCGGAGCAGCACCUUCUUUCAUAUUCUCGUUGUGCGUACUUACGUGAGCAUCUGGACGUAUCUCCCGUGCGAACGCUUUCCACGGUCGAUAGAUCCGAGGCAUCAGGGGUAUCCUUCGUGCCUCUGCAGCAAGAGAGCUCUUGUCGACUCGCUAGGACAUGCAGAAGCAUUCCAAACCGCUCAGCAUGUAGCGACAAUUCGCAGUCAGGGCGCAAGUUGACAGCCUGCUAUUCGCAUGGAAUCCAGUCAUGGUGCAGUGAAGCCAAUCCUCGAAAACACAUUUUCGUGGACGGAGGCGUGCAGGCAGACGAAAACCUCGAACUGCAGCCUACGUCCAAUAACGAAUCCAACACGGGAUUUUCGCUCGAAAUCAUCGGGAGAUGUCAUGCACGCCACAAAGUUUGAUUGGAAGCGACUGACACGAAGCGCCCAUUACGUAUCAGGUGACGCACGAACAUCGCACAACAGAACAAAAUCAUCUUUCAGCAAGUGCCCGGGAAAAUCGUUCCCGUUGUGAAUACGUUGCUCCAGCCGUGCUUGCUUGACUGCCCAGCGCACGUCGCUAAUGCACCGCUACAGGCGAGAAUCUAGUGACCUCUGUGUUGUCCACUGAUUUUUUCAUUGAAAGUCUGCAGCAUUUCAGCAUCACAUCCACAUUGAACACCGAAUGAUUUCCUUGAAUGUUCUCUCGAGGCGAAGCCUCAAGACACUUCAAAAGUACGAGACAUUUCGAAUGGUUGAUAGAGGCAUUGAGAUCAAUGUUUAGAAUGUCCUCGAGCACAUCCUUGCUCAUGGAAUCAUAUCAUCAGAACCAGCUCACCAUCGAUUCUCUAGCCAUCUGACGUUUGCUCCGACAACCAAACACCAUCUCUUGCAUCCGUCUCCGUUUCACGUUUUUCUUUCCUAUCUGUUUCAGCGUCUUCAUGUGCUCGUCGAGCGUCUAUACCGUCGUAAACCCAUCGAUGGGAAACGUGCAGCAUUGGUUCAUGUACGCAUCAUGCGUUCAAGUCGAUGACGCAGGAGCGCAGCCUUUGUGCACUGCAGUACGUCCAGCUCUCUUGACGAACACCAAACGUUGCGAGUUAUCGAUGAUUUUUUCUUCCAGCUCAUUGAACAAGCUGACGAGUUCACGCCUCUUACCGUUGUAGAACUGGAACAGUCGGCAGUUUCUGCUUGAUCGCGGGUACGCUUGCCACAAUUCGUCCGCAUAGGCCAUUUGGACAUUGAUGUACUGUCUGAAACCUAGAAUCUCUUGCAACGGUCCCUGCUUCCCGGUGCCAGUACAGUGAGUUUCCAACGGCAACAGAGCGCGACUCUCGAAGCGCUCGACAUGAACCCUGAUUUCAUGCAGUUUUUUUGAGAUCGGUAUGAAACUUUUCGGCACCGGCGCAGUAGAUACUCCGAUCGCCGGGCUAGCACGGCGACCUGUCAAGGGAUUCAGAGGAGCGUCUUUGCAAAUCCCUGACCCGGCGAUCGGGUUGUAUUGCAUCCUCUGCCUGAGCACCGGUACUUGUACGACGAUUUGAUUGAAAAAUUCCAGAAUAAACUGCACAGC